CUAUAAUACUUUUGUAACAAGUGUUUACAUUGUAAAGUGUUGCGGUUGAGAAAUAAAGUUUUUUUGAAACACAAACAGAGUGAUUUCCUGCUACGUACUUUUUGUACACCUUCCGUUUCCGUGUUUGUUGCUGGACGGACGAUCAACGAUAGCAACCCACGGGAUCUCCGGAACAUCAUUACACAUAUUUGUCUACGCUGCCAUUCGUAGUCCCCUUGGUUCUGCGGAGAAGCCUGGAGGACGAUUUUGAAGCAAGUGCAACUGAAAUGUUAUACGGAACAACAUUCCGAUUUUCUUGGAAGUACUUCAUCGAGAAGGACUUGAAAUCUGAGCAUCAAGCAUUUUUGCAGUACCUCCGGACCUAGAUCUAGAAAAUCCGACCUGCACUGGCUAUUGGCCACAACAAAACACGGCCAUUCCAGUAUCGAUCUUUAAAUGUACGUACGUUUACAUCCGGACGAGCGAGCACCGAAGCCUACUGGAAUUUGCAAGGCACAAUAUGAGGUUUUGGACAGAAACUCGGUGAGAGUUUACACUAUUCAAACUGAGUACAGCCCUAACCGUCUCUACAAAACGCCACAAACCAGCCUUUCUAGAACCUUCGAAGAAUAAUAAACGCGGAAAGAAUUGUCUAUCAUCCUUGAUGCGAAAAACUUAGACCGCAGUGGACAAUUCUUUUCACCUCUCUUACUCUUCGGACUUACCGUUGGGACCGCAGACUAUCGGCUAUCGGUUUCGGCAGGCAGAGUCAAACAUGCGGCACUUACCGUAACAAUAAAACCGUUUUUAUAACAUACUAUUCGAAUCGUGACGUCUCUGCUGAAAAUCAUUAAAUUUCUAAGCGUUAUAUUCCGAAAUCUAAUAAAAAUCGGGUAAAUACAUUAAAUCUUAAUGAAUUCGUUUUGAAAAGCACUAUUAUUUGAUCGAAAUAUAUAUAUAGUUCCACUUAAAAAAUGAAGCUUCAUCAUCAUAUUUUUUACACUAAUAACAUUAAAAAAAUUUUGUUAACGCCAAAACAUAGAGCCCUUUUUAUCCUGCAAUUUCCAUAUAAACACUUUUUCGUGUCAUCAGUAGUUCAUGAACUAUCGUACUGUUACACUUAGACGUAGACACCUGCAUAUAAUUUGACUACUAGACCUGAAAUAUGAAGCAACAAUUUUUUUUGACAUAAUUAUAUUUAAUAAUAAUUUUAUACUUACCUUUUUAGAAUUAUUAGAAACAUUAGCUUUUUUGUAUUAAUAAUUUUGGGAUUACAGCAUUUAUCAUUUUUGUCCAUGGAUGGUCGAUAGACCAACUGUUGAUUUUAAAUACCAAAAUACCAAAUAAGCUGUUAAAUAAAUUGCUAUUUUUGGUAGUAGUGGCAAAAGGUAUUGAUGCAUUAAAAUUUUCAUCAUUGGUUUAUAUGUGACUAUUUAAAUAAUGCUCUUGGAAUUCCGUUUUGCUUAUUGUUAUUUUGGUGUAAAUUGACCUUGGUGUGUUCAGUAGGUACUUUUGCAUUAAUGAAGUGUUGUACUUAUAAUUGUACCACUUGGUCAACUACUUCUUUAUUACUUACCUUCUUGAGAUUUACGAGGUCUGUCCCAAAAGUAUCCGACCUUCUUUAAUUUCUUCGCACCUGACAAUUUUAGCGUCAUUUGCGGGGUAUGAGUAUCAACUGCAAAGUUUUACGAACUCACACGAUAUCGCAGUUUUCGUCGGGACGCCUUAGUUCAUGGGCAACGUGCAUUUCUUUACGAAGCGUUUUUUACGUUCGUCGCAUUCUGCUGUUGUAAAAAAUGAGGGAAGGAUCGGAGCAACGAAUUUGCAUCAAAUUUUCCUUAAAACUCGAAAAGUGUUGUGCGGAAACCAUCGAUAUGAUGAAGAAGGUAUUUGGGGAUGAGUAUAUGAACAACACACAAAUCAAAGAAUGGUAUAAGCGGUUCAAAGAUGGCCGCACAGCUGUUGAUAGUAACCCACGCUCUCGGCGGCCUUCCACGACAACAAGACCUAUUAAUAUCGAACGUGUGCGACUUGCGAUCAACGAAAAUCGUCGAUUGACUGUGCGAGAACUAGAAUAUGAUCUUGCAAUACCGAAAACUAGUUUUGGCCUCAGUUUUGGUCAAGCGGUGAUUGGCUUCUUCAUCACGAUAACGCGCCAGCGCAUGCAUCGAAUCUUGUGCAGCAAUAUUUGACGAAGCACAAAGUCAUACAGCUCCGUUAGCCUCCGUACAGUUCUGAUGUAGCUUCCUGCGAUUUUUGGUUGUUUCCAAGAUUGAAAAUGCCACUCAAAGAACACCGAUUCGACGAUAAAGAAACGGUCGAAACUAAUACGACGAAAGCUCUAAAGACUAUUCCGAAAAACGAGUUCCAGGACUGUUUCCAUCAGUGUAAAGGUCGUUGGCAGAGUAUUCUACAAUCAAUAGGGGACUACUUCGAAGGAUGCCACCAGCCUGAUGACGCAGGAUAACACCAGCAGGGAAAUAUGAAGGAAGGUCGGAUACUUUUGGGACAGACCUCGUAUGUGUGGUGGAACAAAAAGUGUUCUACCCACAUUAUUCGCGUAAAGUAGUUUGGCUUAAUAUUUUAGAACUUGAUCUUAAUAAUGUAAGAAUCAACUUCAUAUUAUAACAGGAAUGUUAUAAUACAUAUUUAAGAUCAUAAAAAGGCUUAUCAUAAGACUUUGUCAACUUGUCACUAUAUUGUUCUCUUUUAUCUAUGAAGUGCAUUCAAUGAAUAUACAGGGUCUUCAAAAAAUCCCCGCCCGGUUAAAUAACUUAAACCGUAGGCGUUGCUCAACAAAAUGGUUUAAAGUUAUUUAACCGAUCCGGGACUUUUUGAAGACCCUGUAUUAUUUGCUACUGAUUCAUCAUAAAGUGAAAUUAAAUAUACCUGAGAAAUAUAGGGAAACUAUAUUGAAAGAUAAAAUAGAGUUCAAUGAUAAACUAAAAGCUUUUAAAUGUCAGUCGAUUCGUUUCUACUUGAUUCUUUACAGAGAUUUACAAUAUUAAGAGAGUUUUGUAUCAGUUCCCACAACAAACGUGGAUUUAAAAUUUCUUAAUAAUCAUACUUAACUAUGUGAUACAUAAUAAUUCAAUGUACACAACAACACGGCCGACUUAUUUUUUCCUGUGCACUUCUUAUCAGGUUCUAUACACUGAUUACAUAUUUGUCACACUUAUUAAAGCACAUUGGUAACAAGUGAUCAUCUUCGACUUUAAUUAGAAAUGACAAUUUUUUUACAGGAAUUUUGUUGUAUAAAUUAUAAGCAAACAUUAU
rnacentral:lncRNA from 1 species